rnacentral:misc_RNA from 1 species
GAGAAGAACGCAGCGAAAUGCGAUAAGUAGUGUGAAUUGCAGAAUUCCGUGAAUCAUCGAAUCUUUGAACGCACAUUGCGCCUUCUGGUAUUCCGGAAGGCAUGCCUGUUCGAGAGUCAUUAACAACCGUUUCGAUCCCUUUCUUUCAGAAAUUACAAAGAGGAAAAGGGUUUGGUUAUGGUGUAGGAGGGAAAGGGAGCGUUUAGCCUGUAAAAAAAGAGGCUGUGUUCCGCCUCCCCCCCAAAAUUGUACAGGCGGUCGUGUGCGCCCACGCAUCGAGGUGUUGUAAAAGCUGCCACGGCACUUUUCACCUGUGCAGUGCGAGAUUGGCCAGCCGGUUUAAAAACCCCUCCAAACAAUCAAAGGUUGACCUCGGAUCAGGUAGGGAUACCCGCUGAACUUAAGCAUAUCAAUAAGCGGAGGA